GUUCUCGCUUCGAUAGUACAUGUACUAAAACUUGAACGAUACAGAAAAUAUUAGUAGUUAUAGACCCUGCACGAGAAUGACUUAAAAAAUCUUAAAGCGUUACACAAUUUU
rfam:Danaus plexippus plexippus isolate F-2 unplaced genomic scaffold DPSCF300115, whole genome shotgun sequence.